GACGAACGCUGGCGGCGUGCUUUACACAUGCAAGUCGAACGGUGAAGGUGGAGCUUGCUCCGCCGGAUCAGUGGCGAACGGGUGAGUAACACGUGGGCAACCUGCCCCUAACUUUGGGAUAACUACUCGAAAGAGUAGCUAAUACCGGAUAUGAAGUCUGUAGGCAUCUACGGAUUUGGAAAGUUUUUCGGUUGGGGAUGGGCGCGCGGCCUAUCAGCUUGUUGGUGAGGUAGUGGCUCACCAAGGCGACGCCGGGUAGCCGGCCUGAGAGGGGGACCGGGCACACUGGGACUGAGACAGGGCCCAGACUCCUACGGGGGGCAGCAGUGGGGAAUAUUGCUCAAUGGGCGAAAGCCUGACGCAGCAACGCCGCGUGCGGGAUGAAGGCCUUCGGGUUGUAAACCGCUUUCAGCAGGGAAGAAGCGAAAGUGGCGGUACCUGCAGAAGAAGCACCGGCUAACUACGUGCCAGCAGCCGCAGUAA
rnacentral:rRNA from 1 species